GUGGCGAACUGGGGAGUAACACGUGGGUAACCUGCCCUUGAAGUAGGGGAUAACACUUGGAAACAGGUGCUAAUACCGUAUAACAACCAAAACCACCUGGUUUUGGUUUAAAAGAUGGCUUCGGCUAUCACUUUAGGAUGGACCCGCGGCGUAUUAGCUUGUUGGUAAGGUAACGGCCUACCAAGGCAAUGAUACGUAGCCGACCUGAGAGGGUAAUCGGCCACAUUGGGACUGAGACACGGCCCAAACUCCUACGGGAGGCAGCAGUAGGGAAUCUUCCACAAUGGACGAAAGUCUGAUGGAGCAACGCCGCGUGAGUGAUGAAGGGUUUCGGCUCGUAAAACUCUGUUGUUGGAGAAGAACAGGUGUCAGAGUAACUGUUGACAUCUUGACGGUAUCCAACCAGAAAGCCACGGCUAACUACGUGCCAGCAGCCGCGGUAAUACGUAGGUGGCAAGCGUUGUCCGGAUUUAUUGGGCGUAAAGCGAGCGCAGGCGGUUUCUUAGGUCUGAUGUGAAAGCCUUCGGCUUAACCGGAGAAGUGCAUCGGAAACCAGGAGACUUGAGUGCAGAAGAGGACAGUGGAACUCUAUGUGUAGCGGUGAAAUGCGUAGAUAUAUGGAAGAACACCAGUGGCGAAGGCGGCUGUCUGGUCUGUAACUGACGCUGAGGCUCGAAAGCAUGGGUAGCGAACAGGAUUAGAUACCCUGGUAGUCCAUGCCGUAAAC
rnacentral:rRNA from 1 species